rnacentral:lncRNA from 1 species
GUGAAUUUGGCUCCUGUGAAAGUUCCACUUGACCACUUAAUUAAAAGCCAGAAGAUAGCCAGCCUGAACAGACGAGUAGAAUGAGGUGCUGAGUGCAGGUGAAGCACAGAAAGGUGUCUCAUUUCUGCAUGUACAUCCUGUAGUGCUGAGCUCCUCUCCAGGGACCUGCUGGUUCUGCCAUGGUGUGGAGAUGUUUGGCUCUGGUGGAUGCUCUCUCCAGG